GCCUGGUGUGGUGGUGCACACCUGUAAUCCCAGUGACUCAGGAGGCUGAGGCAGGAGGAUCACAAGUUCAAGACCAGCCUCAGCAAUCUAGUGAGAACUUGUCUCAA
rnacentral:sRNA from 1 species